rnacentral:rRNA from 2 species
UUUAAUGAGAGUUUGAUCCUGGCUCAGGACGAACGCUGGCGGCGUGCCUAAUACAUGCAAGUAGAACGCUGAGGUUUGGUGUUUACACUAGACUGAUGAGUUGCGAACGGGUGAGUAACGCGUAGGUAACCUGCCUCAUAGCGGGGGAUAACUAUUGGAAACGAUAGCUAAUACCGCAUAAGAGUAAUUAACACAUGUUGGUUAUUUAAAAGGAGCAAUUGCUUCACUGUGAGAUGGACCUGCGUUGUAUUAGCUAGUUGGUGAGGUAAAGGCUCACCAAGGCGAC